rnacentral:rRNA from 1 species
AUGAUUGUUCUUAUUCCUAAGGUGCAGAAUCCUGAGUCGAUAAAGGACUUUCGCCCAAUCAGCCUUUGUAAUGAGAUUUAUAAAAUUAUCUCCAAGUGCCUUGCCAACAAACUGAGACCUCUGCUGGAUGGUAUGACUUCUCCUACCCAAAGUGCAUUUAUCCCUGGAAGAUCAAUAUUUGAUAAUGUCCUCAUCUAUUUCGAAUGUAUGCACUCUUUAAAUACGUUAAAAGAUAGUUGUGGUGAAUUUUGUACAUAUAAGUUGGAUCUCGCUAAAGCAUAUGAUCGUGUCCACUGA